AUAACUCAGCUUUGGUACUGGAGGGGAAUUGGAGCUUUGGAACAGGAUGGUGGAACCAUUCCCUCCCAACUCCCCCCGACCAACACCAUCUAACCCUGCCCAAGAAGGAAAAAAUCUUUCCUUUUCUUACAUAUGGGAGCCUUGGAUAGAGAAACGGUUUCAGUUCAUCUGGUUUUGUUUUGUGUUGUUUUUCCAUGUGUGCAUGAGAGCCACAAAACAAAAAAAAUAAGAAAAGAACAAAACCGGGAGUGUUCACUUUGUUGUUAUUGCUACAGAGAUGUUUAUUCUAAAUUUAAAUAAACGCAUAAAGGAACUUCUCUAAACUUUUUGCUCAGAGGACCAAACUUGAACUUCAAUUGGUGAAGGAAUCCUGGAAUACUGUUCAGGGGAGCAGAGAAUCCCCACUCAUAUCCUCUCUCUUGCCCCUCUCCCCUAAGGGUUUUGAUCUUUGCUGUCCACUGUUCUCCACACACGCAACAAAUAGACAAUGUGUCCCAACCCAAGAAGCUGAAAGUCCUGUGAAGUUCAAACAGAAAAUUGUCUUAAUAGGCUGCACGUGGUGGCUCACGCCUAUAAUCCCAGCACUUUGGGAGGCCAUGAGGGUGGAUCACUUGAGGUCAGAAGUUCGAGACCAGCCUGGCCAACAUGGUGAAACCCAGUCUCUACUAAAAAUACAAAAAUUAGCCAGGUGUGGUGGCACAUGCACCUGUAAUCCCAGCUACUCAGGAAGCUGAGGCAAGAGAACUGCUUGAACAGGGAAGCAGAGGUUGCGGUGAACCGGGAUUGCGCCACUGCACUCCAGCCUGGGUGACAGAAUGAGGCUCCCGUCUCCAAAAAAAAAAAAAAAAAAAGAAAAGAAAAGAAAGAGAAAAGAAAAGAAAAUUGUCUGAAGGCUGCUGAGAAUAAACAGAGAGUAGCAAGGCUGCAGAGAGGCCAGAACUAAUCAAACUGACAGUAGCUCCCACUGUUUCACAGGCAGCCACCAUGCCCAUGCUGUAAAUGGAUUAUCCCACUUGAAUAUCACAACAACCUAGGGAGGAGGUGCUACAUUUAUCCCCCCUUUUACAAUUCAUGAAACAGGCAGCGUAGGAUGGGGGUCCAGUGCUCAGUUUCUAACCUCACACAGUGAGGUGUAUGUCCUGACCUUGGCAAACCAACUCUAUCCUGUGCCGCAGUUUUCUUCUCUAGAAAUCAAGUAUAGUAAUAGUACCAAGAGUUUCUGUGAAGAGUAAAUGAGAUAAGAAACACAAAGUGCUUAGGGCAGUGCCGGGUACACAGUAAAUUAUAUUUUAUCAUUAUAAUCUCAUUCACUCAGUUGGGAGGCCAUGGAACCAGGAUUAGACCCACAUCCGGCCACCAAGACCUCUGGCUCCUGGUUGUACAAUUGGAUUCCAGGAAGGAAGGAGCCUCUGACAAAGCCCUGGAGGCUCGGCCUUGCUUCUCUUGCUUCAAGUACCUGCUGCUCACACAGGUCUGGGUUUUCACUCCACAUGAAGGCUGGGCCAAGGCUCAGGUGGCUUCUGACAUGCGUCCAUCAGCAGUGAACCACAAACACACACACAAAACCUGUGAGUUCCCAUCUGUCUUUGCAGUGGCCAGUCUGUGAUGCAAAUCCCUGCUCUGACAAGCGAUUCUGGGAGGACUUUGCUGUACCUUUCAGCCCUGGUGUCCUGCCAAGCACUGUGCUUGAGGCAGCCUCAUUCUCGAGCCCUGGCCUUUUGGGCACCAGUCUUUUCUAUGAAAAAUUCAAAGAGCUCUUUCUUCAGCCCAGCCAUGCAUCAGCGAAGCACGACAUGGGCUUGGCUCAGCACUCCCAAUCAGUGGGACUGCUGGACUCCAAUCACCAGUGAGGCUGGCCCUCCUCCUACUGGCAGCUCUUUCUGGGGUAUUCCCCUGGCUGGUGAGUUCACCCUGGUAACAAUUCCAAAGGGACCUCUGUGAUUGUUGCUAGAGCAACCAUCCCCCACCCCCACAUCCACUGUCAGGCAGUGCUUCCCUGAGCUUAGGGAAAGUAGGCCCCAGAUUUAAGCCCAUGUCACUGCUUAGUGGAGAGGAUUGAGGGACAUCAAGGAACUACUGCCCCCAGUGUUUUCCCCACUGGUUAGCAUUCAGCCUGAGUCUUUUCGUUACAGGCCUUCCUUUAGGUUAUACUUAACCUAAACCUGUGUCCCAGGUUGCUAGGACAUACCUAGUUUAUACCUGUUAUCCUGGAAUAAUUGUUAAUAGGGCCCCUUUCAGUCUCAAAAGUGUCUUCAUUUUUGUGAUAAACUAUAUGGUCCUCCCAGCUUCAGUACAUGUUGUCUGUGGGAGGGUCCUGUUAAGAUUCACAUGGUCCUUGGGCAUUGGUAUUUACUAGCUUAGUUAACUGAGGGCAGGAAAGUACUUAUGGAGAUUUGGAGGAAUUGCUCUAGGUUUGUUAAUCUGGUGUGGGGGUUGGGGAAGGUAGGGGACAGACUUCAGAUUAACUAGGUUUAAGAAAAGACCUGAGGCUUCUGAUUUGGUUUGGCUGUGUCUACACCCAAAAUCUUAUCUUGAAUUGUAAUCCCAAUACCCAUAAUCCCCACGUGUCAAGGGUGGGACCAGGUGGAGGUAAUUGGACCAUAGGGGCAGUUUCCCCCACGCUGUUCUCGUGAUAGUGAGUCUCAUGAGAUCUGAUGGUUUUAUAAACGUCUGGCAUUUCCCUGGCUUGCACUCCCUGUCCUGCUGCCCUGUGAAGAAGGUGCCUGCUUCUCUUUUGCCUUCUACCAUGAUUGUAAGUUUCCUGAGGCCUCCCUAGCAAUGCAGAACUGUGAGUCAAUUAAACCUCUUUCCUUUAUAAAUU
rnacentral:lncRNA from 10 species